UUUUUUAAAUACUUGAGGGUCACAUGGAGGGUGACCUCAGGUCCACUUUGCUCUGUGCAGCUGAAGUUCAGGCCAGCGAGAACAAAGUGUCAUUCCUGGUUAAUGGUUAAGGACAUUCCCAAAGGAGAGUUAGGUUUCUCAGAGGCCAGUGUAGGGUUUCCACAUGAUUGGGCAGUCCUGGUGUUAAGUGCAUUAUUCUACAAACCUUGACUCCAACUGCGGCUGUCUCUCUCUCUCCCUCUCCCUCUCUCUCUCUCUCUCUCUCUCUCUCUCUAUGUCUCUCUCAGGCUGUAGGGGGGCUGAUUCUGGAGAAGCCGGUGGACAAGCACCAUGCCUAUUGCAUGCUUUCCAGAUUGAGUGGGAAGGAGCACAGCGUGUUCACGGGCGUAGCCAUUGUGCACUGCAGCACGAAAGGUAACUUGGCAGUUUGUCUUCCGUUGCUGGGGACAUGGGACUUGAAGGUUCUCAGCUUCCCAGCCUCCAUGAUGGAGAUUUUCAUGAUCUCUGCCUCCUAAGUAGCUGGGAUUAUAGGUGUGAGCCACCACUUUCAGCCUUUAAGGAACUUUGAAGUCACAGAAGGACUAGAGGUAUUUCCUGUGUUGUCUGUAUUGUGCUUACAAGAGGUAGGUAACCCAGGUCUGGGCCACCUUUACCCCGUCCAUCUACCUAUCACAUUGGUGUCCUUUGGGGGACAAAACACUUGCCAGGCAAUGAGAGCCUCCAGACCUUUCAUUUCCUCCUUUUUUUCCCUCUAAUGUCCCCAUGUAUUGCAGACAGGUGGCUUCACGUGUGACAGGGCUCUUCCACCUCGUGGGGCUCCAGGUGUCCUUGGCUUGUGGCCCCAUCACUCCAGUCUCUACCGCCAUCUUCACAUGGGUUCUCCUCUUCUCCCUCUGGUUGUCCCCUCGCGUAAAAUGAUCCUUUUCCCCAUGAAAAAUUGUAACAGAUUUGCACACUAGGUUAUGUGAGCUCCUCCAGUGCCCAUAUAGACGUCAUGGUACUGAGGUGGCCGUGGCCAUGGCCGGUCCCCCAACCUCCUGGGUUUUGUCCUUUCAGAUGGCCGUCUGGACACGGAGGUGUCCGAGUUCUAUGAAGAAACGAGAGUGAAGUUUUCCGAGCUGUCGGAGGAGUUGCUGUGGGAUUACAUUGACAGUGGGGAGCCCAUGUGAGUCCCUGGGUAGGGUGGUGACACGGGGACGGCUGGCCAGGCACACACAGGGGACACUGCACAGCCAGGACAGAGGACAUCCUU
rnacentral:lncRNA from 1 species